rnacentral:misc_RNA from 1 species
AUGCGAUAAGUAAUGUGAAUUGCAGAAUUCAGUGAAUCAUCGAAUCUUUGAACGCACAUUGCGCCCCCUGGUAUUCCGGGGGGCAUGCCUGUUCGAGCGUCAUUUCACCACUCAAGCCUCGCUUGGUAUUGGGCAUCGCGGUCCGCCGCGUGCCUCAAAUCGACCGGCUGGGUCUUCUGUCCCCUAAGCGUUGUGGAAACUAUUCGCUAAAGGGUGUUCGGGAGGCUACGCCGUAAAACAACCCCAUUUCUAAGGUUGACCUCGGAUCAGGUAGGGAUACCCGCUGAACUUAA